GAAUACCUUGGGUGGAGAGGUCGAGAGAACUCAGGGAUUAAGGGAGCUUGGAGUGCUGGAUGUGGUGAGCAGGCCCCACCUACAGGGAAUGGGGAAGCCUAAAGCAUCCGCCAGGGCACCCACUUAAAAUAUAGCCUCGAGACGACCCUAUCUGAACCCCAAGGUAUUAC
rnacentral:other from 1 species